UACGUAGGUGGCAAGCGUUGUCCGGAAUUACUGGGCGUAAAGCGCGCGUAGGCGGGUCUUUAAGUCAGGGGUGAAAUGCCAGGGCUCAACCUUGGAACUGCCUUUGAUACUGGAGACCUUGAGUCCGGGAGAGGUGAGUGGAACUGCGAGUGUAGAGGUGAAAUUCGUAGAUAUUCGCAAGAACACCAGUGGCGAAGGCGGCUCACUGGCCCGGUACUGACGCUGAGGUGCGAAAGCGUGGGGAGCAAACAGG
rnacentral:rRNA from 1 species